UGUUAAAAAUUUUAUCAAUUCAUAUUGUUAAAAACUGGCGUGGUCGAUGGAAUAACCAGACAGUGAUACGUGGAAUGCCACAUGAACAUCAUGUUGACAUACAAUGACUAGUUUUUAACAGUAAAAAUGGAUAAAAAUUUUAAUA
rfam:Gossypium hirsutum cultivar TM-1 unplaced genomic scaffold scaffold413.1, whole genome shotgun sequence